CCUACGGGUGGCAGCAGUGGGGAAUUUUGGACAAUGGGCGCAAGCCUGAUCCAGCUAUUCCGCGUGUGGGAAGACGGCCUUCGGGUUGUAAACCACUUUUGUAGAGAACGAAAAGUCUGUUGAUAAUACCGAUAGAUGAUGACGGUACUCUAAGAAUAAGCACCGGCUAACUACGUGCCAGCAGCCGCGGUAAUACGUAGGGUGCGAGCGUUAAUCGGAAUUACUGGGCGUAAAGGGUGUGCAGGCGGGUUUGCAAGAUGGAUGUGAAAGCCUCGGGCUUAACCUGGGAGAGCCAUACAUGACUGCAAGACUAGAGUGCGUCAGAGGGGGGUGGAAUUCCAAGUGUAGCAGUGAAAUGCGUAGAUAUUUGGAAGAACACCGAUGGCGAAGGCAGCCCCCUGGGACGCAACUGACGCUCAUACACGAAAGCGUGGGGAGCAAACAGGAUUAGAUACCCUUGUAGUC
rnacentral:rRNA from 1 species